GCAGGAUGGACGCGUUGGCUGUCAUGAUGUAGGACCUCCUGACCUAGAACCAUGCCCGGCGCAGGGAGAACAACGAGCUUAUGGACCGGGUGCGGGGGCUGCUGUGCGAGAAAGCCUACCUGCUGGCCCGGGAGCGUUCGCUGGCCCACCUGGUGGCUUUCCCUAGACGUUUAACGGCGACUCCGCCCGGCCUCCCGACUUUUUGAUGCAGGCGUUCUCUUACAUGACUUUCUUCGAGGCUAGAUUCUCGAAAGACAUCCUGAAGGUGGCUUUCUUAAUUAGCUGCCUCACCGAGUGGCGGAGCAGUUCGUAGUCCCCUACAUCGAGAGGGAGAGCCCCGUCCUGGCUCAGUACUAGGGCUUCGUGGACGCGCUGUAGCGGGCCUUGGCCGUUGUGGGUAGGAAACAGUCGGGCCGGAUCCCCGGUGUCUGGGGAGCGGCUGCGGCCCGGGCCCGCGCGAGCCACUUCGCUCCUACAAGCCCGGCUCACUAGUUCCAAGCUGCUGGACUUUGACCCUCGCUGGGAAGCUUGAUCGCCGCCUGUUCUCGCCAAUCUCUGCCUUUGCACUGCCCAGCAACCCGGUCACUGCCCAGGACCUGUUAAAAGUGGAAUGGACCUCCCAGAAUCACGCCGCUGCCACCGCCGUUUCUAGAGACGGCUUUUGGCCACCUUUGAGAAUCAGGGUCAAACUUGGAAGGGCCUGCAUUUGUCACACCUCCUCGGACACUAAUUUGGAUAGUUCAGGCCCAGAGACAGCUUCCCGGAACCUUCUGGAUUUCAGCUUUGGCAAGCUUCCUCUGUUUCUGAGCCACCUCCAUCACCUGGGGUAC
rnacentral:lncRNA from 1 species